UACGGAGGGUGCAAGCGUUAUCCGGAUUCACUGGGUUUAAAGGGUGCGUAGGCGGGUAUGUAAGUCCGUGGUGAAAUCUCCGAGCUUAACUCGGAAACUGCCAUGGGUACUGCGUAUCUUGAAUGUUGUGGAGGUGAGCGGAAUAUGUCAUGUAGCGGUGAAAUGCUUAGAUAUGACAUAGAACACCAAUUGCGAAGGCAGCUCACUACACAAAUAUUGACGCUGAGGCACGAAAGCGUGGGGAUCAAACAGGAUUAGAUACCCUGGUAGUCCACGCCCUAAACGAUGAUUACUCGACAUACGUGAUACACAAUGUGUGUCUGAGCGAAAGCAUUAAGUAAUCCACCUGGGAAGUACGACCGCAAGGUUGAA
rnacentral:rRNA from 1 species